CCUACGGGAGGCAGCAGUCGGGAAUAUUGCGCAAUGGAGGAAAGUCUGACGCAGUGACGCCGCGUGCAGGAAGAAGGCCUUCGGAUCGUAAACUGCUUUAGACAGGGAAGAAAAAAGACAGUACCUGUAGAAUAACCUCCGGCUAACUACGGGCCAGCUGCCGCGGUAAUACGUAGGGAGCAAGCGUUAUCCGGAUUUAUUGGGUGUAAAGGGUGCGUAGACGGAGAAGCAAGUUAGUUGUGAAAUCCCUCGGCUUAACUGAGGAACGGCAACUAAAACUACUGCCCUUGAGUACUUGAGAGGAAAGUGGAAUUCCAAGUGUAGCAGUGAAAUGCGUAGAUAUUAGGAAGAACACCAGUGGCGAAGGCAACUUUCUGGACAGUAACUGACGUUCAGGCACGAAAGCGUGGGGAGCAAACAGGAUUAGAUACCCGAGUAGUC
rnacentral:rRNA from 1 species